AUGCAUCCAUCAAUACCCACGCAGCGAUAUGGAAAAGGGGAAGAUGGUCCUGCAUGCGACCCGGCCGGCUACAGUCCCGAGCGUCACUCCGCAGCAGGAGCUGCGUUGGAUUCCCCCAGGCCGGGCUGGACGAAGCUAAAUACUGAUGGGAGCUAUGAACCGUUGACAGGUGCUGUUGGAGGUGGCAUGGUUCUCAGAGAUGAAAGAGGAGAUAUCGUGUUUAGUGCUUGCAGGGAAAUAUGCACAUGCGAUAACAGUCUUGAGGCGGAACUGCUAGCGUGUAGAGAGGGGUUGGAGUUGGCUGUGCACCGUACUAGCUUGCCCAUCUUGGUGGAGCUGGAUAGUGUUGAAGCGGUGAGGAUGCUCACAGCACAUGCGGCAGAUCGCUCACAUCACUGUACUCUCGUGGUGGAGAUAGAGAAUCGCGGAGAGGGAGAUCUUGUUUCUUCAUUGUAG
rnacentral:rRNA from 1 species